rnacentral:rRNA from 1 species
UCUGGUUGAUUCUGCCAGUAGUCAUAUGCUUGUCUCAAAGAUUAAGCCAUGCAUGUCUAAGUAUAAGCACUUUAUACUGUGAAACUGCGAAUGGCUCAUUAAAUCAGUUAUCGUUUAUUUGAUAGUACCUUACUACAUGGAUACCUGUGGUAAUUCUAGAGCUAAUACAUGCUGAAAACCUCGACUUCGGAAGGGGUGUAUUUAUUAGAUAAAAAACCAAUGCCCUUCGGGGCUCCUUGGUGAAUCAUAAUAACUUAACGAAUCGCAUGGCCUUGCGCCGGCGAUGGUUCAUUCAAAUUUCUGCCCUAUCAACUUUCGAUGGUAGGAUAGUGGCCUACCAUGGUGGCAACGGGUAACGGGGAAUUAGGGUUCGAUUCCGGAGAGGGAGCCUGAGAAACGGCUACCACAUCCAAGGAAGGCAGCAGGCGCGCAAAUUACCCAAUCCCGACACGGGGAGGUAGUGACAAUAAAUACUGAUACGGGGCUCUUUUGGGUCUCGUAAUUGGAAUGAGUACAAUCUAAAUCCCUUAACGAGGAACAAUUGGAGGGCAAGUCUGGUGCCAGCAGCCGCGGUAAUUCCAGCUCCAAUAGCGUAUAUUAAAGUUGUUGCAGUUAAAAAGCUCGUAGUUGAACCUUGGGUCUGGCUGGCCGGUCCGCCUCACCGCGAGUACUGGUCCGGCUGGACCUUUCCUUCUGGGGAAUCUCAUGGCCUUCACUGGCUGUGGGGGGAACCAGGACUUUUACUGUGAAAAAAUUAGAGUGUUCAAAGCAGGCCUUUGCUCGAAUACAUUAGCAUGGAAUAAUAGAAUAGGACGUGCGGUUCUAUUUUGUUGGUUUCUAGGACCGCCGUAAUGAUUAAUAGGGAUAGUCGGGGGCGUCAGUAUUCAGCUGUCAGAGGUGAAAUUCUUGGAUUUGCUGAAGACUAACUACUGCGAAAGCAUUCGCCAAGGAUGUUUUCAUUAAUCAGGGAACGAAAGUUAGGGAUCGAAGACGAUCAGAUACCGUCGUAGUCUUAACCAUAAACUUAUGCCGACUAGGGAUCGACGGUGU